GCCGUUAUAGCUCAGGGGUAGAGCACUUCCAUGGUAAGGAAGGGGUCGUCGGUUCAAUUCCGACUAACGGCU
rnacentral:tRNA from 5 species